rnacentral:rRNA from 1 species
GUGUCAGCAGCCGCGGUAAUACAGAGGGAGCAAGCGUUGUUCGGAAUUACUGGGCGUAAAGGGCGCGUAGGCGGUCCGAUAAGUCCCGUGUGAAAUCCCUCGGCUCAACUGAGGAAUGGCACGGGAAACUGACGGGCUUGAGUUCGGGAGAGGGAAGCGGAAUUCCGGGUGUAGCGGUGAAAUGCGUAGAUAUCCGGAGGAACACCGGUGGCGAAGGCGGCUUCCUGGACCGACACUGACGCUGAGGCGCGAAAGCUAGGGGAGCAAACGGGAUUAGAUACCCCCGUAGUCC